GAUGACAGCUCCGUACAUGUUUUGCCCUUGAAGACCGUUUAGUGGGACAAGAUGUGGAGGGCUGCGUGGUUCUGUUUGCCAAGGUUCUUCUCGUCAAAAUCUGCACUGGAAGGUCUUCUGAAGUUCCUCAGCUCACUUGUCUCAGCAGUGUCU